rnacentral:rRNA from 1 species
AGUGAACGCUGGCGGUAGGCCUAACACAUGCAAGUCGAACGGCAGCACAGUAAGAGCUUGCUCUUCCGGGUGGCGAGUGGCGGACGGGUGAGGAAUACAUCGGAAUCUACUUUUUCGGGGGGGUUAACGUAGGGAAACUUACGCUCAUACCGCAUCCGAUCUACGGGGGAAGGCAGGGGAUCUUCGGACCUUGCGCGGUUGGAUGAGCCGCUGUCGGAUUAGCUAGUUGGCGGGGUAAAGGCCCACCAAGGCGACGAUCCGUAGCUGGUCUGAGUGGAUGAUCGGCCACACUGGAACUGAGACACGGUCCAGACUCCUACGGGAGGCAGCAGUGGGGAAUAUUGGACAAUGGGCGCAAGCCUGAUCCAGCCAUACCGCGUGGGUGAAGAAGGCCUUCGGGUUGUAAAGCCCUUUUGUUGGGAAAGAAAAGCAGCAGGUUAAUACCCCGCUGUUCUGACGGUACCCAAAGAAUAAGCACCGGCUAACUUCGUG